GUAGGCAUAGUUUAAUAUAAAACUUUAGAUUGUGAUUCUAAAAAUAGAGGUUAAACCCCUCUUGCUCACC
rnacentral:tRNA from 1 species